rnacentral:misc_RNA from 1 species
GCCGGUGAGAUCAAGCGAGCCGGCACCGGCGACGAGUCACGAGUAACGACAAGUCAGUUCAAUCUCAGUCACCGGCGAUAAUGGAUCCGGUGAACUCAACACUUGCCCGAAUGCUAUUGGAUGAGAUCACUCCUGUGGUUAUGGUUCUCCGAACUCCUUUUGUUGAAGAAUCUUGUCAGAAGAAUCAACUCUCCUUCAUUGAAAUGCUUUCUCCUUUCUGCAAUUUCAACAAUAUCGACGUGCCAGUUCGAACUGCUAGUGAUCAGCCUUACAGACUGAAGAAGUUCAAAUUGCGGUUGUUUU